UCUUUUCAUGUCUUUUGAAGUCCUUGCGGUCCUUAGGGCUUGCAUCUAUGCUUGGAGGGUCUUCACUCUCAUCUACAAUAUCCCAAAGGUCCAAAGACGCCAACAAAAGCUCCAUUUUGACCUUCCAAUGGUAGAAAUUGUUGCCUUUAAACUUCUCAAUCACUCUCAAACCUUCACCCUCACUAAAAGCCAUAUCUAAGGAGGAGUGUAUCAAAAAAUAUUGAAAGAAGGAGUCUCUAAAAGCUUAAAGUGACCAAACGAAGUUUGCACUAGCAGAAUCUCAGAAUGCCCUGUUAUGAAUAAAAGAGUGGUAUCUCACUGAAAACACUUUCAACUUAACUUAUGAAGUUUUCUACAAGUAAUUGCACCCUCAUGGAACUCACAAUUA
rnacentral:lncRNA from 1 species